GGAAGUAAAAGUCGUAACAAGGUCUCCGUUGGUGAACCAGCGGAGGGAUCAUUACCGAGUUUUCAACUCCCAAACCCUUAUGUGAACCUACCUAUCGUUGCUUCGGCGGACUCGCCCCAGCCGGACGCGGACUGGACCAGCGGCCGCCGGGGACCAUCAAACUCUUGUAUUAUCAGCAUCUUCUGAAUACGCCGCAAGGCAAAACAAAUAAAUUAAAACUUUCAACAACGGAUCUCUUGGCUCUGGCAUCGAUGAAGAACGCAGCGAAAUGCGAUAAGUAAUGUGAAUUGCAGAAUCCAGUGAAUCAUCGAAUCUUUGAACGCACAUUGCGCCCGCCAGCAUUCUGGCGGGCAUGCCUGUUCGAGCGUCAUUUCAACCCUCGACCUCCCUUUGGGGAAGUCGGCGUUGGGGACCGGCAGCACACCGCCGGCCCUGAAAUGGAGUGGCGGCCCGUCCGCGGCGACCUCUGCGUAGUAAACCAACUCGCACCGGAACCCCGACGUGGCCACGCCGUAAAACACCCAACUUCUGAACGUUGACCUCGAAUCAGGUAGGACUACCCGCUGAACUUAAGCAUAUCAAUAAGCGGA
rnacentral:misc_RNA from 1 species